ACAGCAGUAGCCGCGGUAAUACGAGGGGGGCAAGCGUUGUUCGGAAUUAUUGGGCGUAAAGGGUGCGUAGGCGGCUUGACAAGUCUUGUGUGAAAUCUAUGGGCUCAACCCAUAGCCUGCACGAGAAACUACCGGGCUUGAGUAUUGGAGAGGUGAGUGGAAUUUCCGGUGUAGCGGUGAAAUGCGUAGAUAUCGGAAGGAACACCUGUGGCGAAAGCGGCUCACUGGACAAUAACUGACGCUGAUGCACGAAAGCUAGGGGAGCAAACAGGAUUAGAUACCCGUGUAGUCCAUGUCUCUUAUAC
rnacentral:rRNA from 1 species